rnacentral:rRNA from 1 species
UUCGCCGUACUCAAACCGACACAGGUGGGUUAGCUGAGAAAGCUAAGGCCUAGGAUCAAUCUCAGGGAAGGAACUCGGCAAAAUGCUAGCGUGACUUUGGAGGAAGCUAGACCUUUUUAACAAAAGGUGGCACAAAAUUGAAGGGGACAACUGUUUAAUAAAAACACAGGACUUUGCAAAGUAACAAUACUAUGUAUAAAGUCUGACGCCUGCCCGGUGUUCAGUGACAGGGAGUUUGGGGUUAACGCUUCAACCCCGAAGAAUGGAUAAACGGCAGCCGUAACUCUAACGGUUCUAAGGUAGCGAAAUUCCUUGGCAUAUAAUUGAUGUCCUGCACGAAUGGCGUCAUGAUCCCCUUACUGUCUCCCCUGAGAUUCCAGCGAAUUUGACAUCUCCGUGAAGAGGCGGAGUGCUCCGAAAGGGACAAUGAGACCCCGUGCACCUUCACUACACGCUGUGACCGUUGUAGAAAGAUGUUGAGUUCAGAAUAAGUGGGAGCAUUUACGCGACUUUGAGAUACCACUCUUAACUCUUUUUACAACACUGCAAGACCUAGAAUAGAUUAUCUACUUACACCCUUGCACAUCCACAGUUUGGUAGUUUCACUGGGGCGGUGGCCUUCAAUAAUGUAUCGAGGGCGUGCCAAGGUUCGGCGUCACCUACUUCAAAGGAUGACAUAAUGGCAACCCAUAAACCGAGCCUGACUGUGAGGCCAACCAGCCAAACAGAGACGCAAGUCGGCGGUAGAGACCCAGAACAGUGGUGUGGAAGCUGUUCUGAUCAUCGGAUCAAAGGUACGCCGGGGAUAACAGGUUAAUCAGCUCCAAGAGUCCAUAUCGACGAGCUGGUUUGACACCUCGAUGUCGACUUAUCCUAUCCUUCAGCUGCAGGCGGUUGAAAGGGUUAGACUGUUCGUCUAUUAAAAGGUUACACGAGUUGGGUUUAGACCGCCGCGAGGCAGGUUGGAUCUUAUCUUUUCGGAGUGGAGAUUGCGGAAAACCUAUUGUGUACGAAAGGAUCGCGUAGGUCGAAUCCCUGGUCCAUGAGUUAUUCCUUACGGAGUACAGCUCAGCAGCUACAUUCGCAGAGAGUAUGGCUGAAAGCAUCUCAAGCCAGAAACUCGUUCCAAAAUGGAUCUCAAACACGUUCCAGAAUAGAACGUUAAUAGGCGUCCAGUGUACCAAGGUAACUUGUCAGCUGGGACGUACUAAUC